AGUGAACGCUGGCGGUAGGCCUAACACAUGCAAGUCGAACGGCAGCACAGUAAUAGCAUGCUCGUACGGGUGGCUAGCGGCGGACGGGUGGGGAAUACGUCGGAAUCUACUUUUUCGUGGGGGAUAACGUAGGGAAACUUACGCUAAUACCGCAUACGACCUACGGGUGAAAGCAGGGGAUCUUCGGACCUUGCGCGAUUGAAUGAGCCGAGGUCGGAUUAGCUAGUUGGCGGGGGAAAGGCCCACCAAGGCGACGCUCCGUAGCUGGUCUGAGAGGAUGAUCAGGCAGACUGGAAGUGAGACACGGCCCAGACUCCUACGGGAGGCAGCAGUGGAGAAUAUUGGACAAUGGGCGCAAGCCUGAUCCAGGCAUACCGCGUGGGUGAAGAAGGACUUAGGGUUGGAAAGCCCUUUUGUUGGGAAAGAAAAGCAGCAGGUUAAUCCCCCGCUGUUCUGACGGUACCCAAAGAAUAAGCACCGGCUAACUUCGUG
rnacentral:rRNA from 1 species